rnacentral:misc_RNA from 1 species
ACAGACUGAGCGAGGAAUAAAGCUCUCUUCGUCUUCAGCGAUCAACUAUGGCAGAUGACGACUUCAAUGAUAUGGAUAUGGGAUAUGAAGAUGAGCCGCCAGAGCCUGAGAUUGAAGAAGGAGCAGAGGAUGAUGUUGAUAACAAUAAUAAUGAGGAUGUUCCUGGGGAACCCAUUGAAACUGGUGAUAAAGAAGAACAAGAACCUGUCGAACGGCCUUGUAAAACAUCAAAAUACAUGACAAAAUAUGAGCGUGCCAGAAUUUUGGGAAC